rnacentral:lncRNA from 1 species
UUGCCCACCACCCCAUCUCUGACCAUGAGGCCACCCUGAGGUGCUGGGCCCUGGGCUUCUACCCUGCGGAGAUCACGCUGACCUGGCAGCGGGACGGGGAGGAACAGACCCAGGACACAGAGCUUGUGGAGACCAGGCCUGCAGGGGAUGGAAACUUCCAGAAGUGGGCUGCUGUGGUGGUGCCUUCUGGAGAGGAACAGAGAUACACGUGCCAUGUGCAGCACGAGGGGCUGCCCCAGCCCCUCACCCUGAGAUGGGAGCAGUCUCCCCAGCCCACCAUCCCCAUCGUGGGCAUCGUUGCUGGCCUUGUUGUCCUUGGAGCUGUGGUCACUGGAGCUGUGGUCGCUGCUGUGAUGUGGAGGAAGAAGAGCUCAGAUAGAAACAGAGGGAGCUACUCUCAGGCUGCAGGUAAGAUGAAGGAGGCUGAUCCCUGAGAUUGUUGGGAUAUUGUAGUCAGGAGCCUAUGAGGGAGCUCACCCACCCCACAGUUCCUCUAGCCACAUCUGUGGGCUCUGACCAGGUCCUGUUUUUGUUCUACCCCAAUCACUGACAGUGCCCAGGGCUCUCGGGUGUCUCUCACAGCUAAUAAAGGUGACACUCCAGGGCAGGGGCCCUGAUGUGAGUGGGGUGUUGGGGGGGAACAGAGGGGACUCAGCUGUGCUAUUGGGUUUCUUUGACUUGGAUGUCUUGAGCAUGAAAUGGGCUAUUUAAAGUGUUACCUCUCACUGUGACUGAUACGAAUUUGUUCAUGAAUAUUUUCUCUAUAGUGUGAGACAGCUUCCUUGUGUGGGACUGAGAAGCAAG